GCCGUCGUAGCUCAGCUGGUAGAGCAUCGCAUUCGUAAUGCGAGGGUCGGGGGUUCGAGUCCCUUCGACGGCACCA
rnacentral:tRNA from 1 species